UCUCACACUGCUCUACUUUAUGAAGUCAAGACCAUUAAUAAAAUCCAGUUUACAGAAAGGCCUAGAGAAGGUUAUUUCUCUGAACACUUCGCUGUACCUACUUCCAUAACAGAUGAACUUACCAGAUGUAACAGAAGCGGUUCUUCUGUUCUCGUGGAAGAUGAAGUUGUCCUUUGUUUUGAUGAGUCCUGAAGGACUUAAAGGAACAGGACCUAGAAAGAAGAGGGGCAGCUUUGUUGGAAUUUAUUGCUGGUUCUGGACAGGCCCUGGCCCGGGUCCCAGGGACAUCAGGGCCCAGAGACCUCACGUGGCUUGUCCUCACCUGGCUUGCCUAGGUUUGAGGUGUUGCUCAAGACAGAGCCUUUGCUGCUGCCCCUGAACACUGCCUGCCAGCACCCCAGCCCACCACCCUGACCUCAUCACCCCGGAAAGGAGCAAGCUCAUCAAAUAGGACAGUGCUUGGGGUCUUCGCCAGUAGCUAGCACUGGCUGCUGUUUAUGAGCAUCUGUUAUACACAAGGCAGUGGAGCAUUCUCACAUUUAAUCCUCAACACAGUGCUAUCAGGAGCCAGAGGACAAGAGACCCCCAGUAGUGU
rnacentral:lncRNA from 1 species